rnacentral:misc_RNA from 1 species
GAUGAAGAACGUAGCGAAAUGCGAUAAGUAGUGUGAAUUGCAGAAUUCAGUGAAUCAUCGAAUCUUUGAACGCACAUUGCGCCCCUUGGUAUUCCAUGGGGCAUGCCUGUUCGAGCGUCAUUUGUACCUUCAAGCUUUGCUUGGUGUUGGGUGUUUGUCUCGCCUUUGCGUGUAGACUCGCCUUAAAAUAAUUGGCAGCCGGCGUAUUGAUUUCGGAGCGUAGUACAUCUCGCGCUUUGCACUCAUAACGACAGCGUCCAAAAGUACAUUUUACACUCUUGACCUCGGAUCAGGUAGGGAUACCCGCUGAACUUAAGCAUAUCAAUAAGCGGAGGA